rnacentral:rRNA from 1 species
AUUGAACGCUGGCGGCAUGCUUUACACAUGCAAGUCGAACGGCAGCGCGGGCUUCGGCCUGGCGGCGAGUGGCGAACGGGUGAGUAAUGCAUCGGAACGUGCCCAGUAGUGGGGGAUAGCCCGGCGAAAGCCGGAUUAAUACCGCAUACGACCUGAGGGUGAAAGCGGGGGACCGAAAGGCCUCGCGCUAUUGGAGCGGCCGAUGUCGGAUUAGCUAGUUGGUGGGGUAAAGGCUUACCAAGGCGACGAUCCGUAGCUGGUCUGAGAGGACGACCAGCCACACUGGGACUGAGACACGGCCCAGACUCCUACGGGAGGCAGCAGUGGGGAAUUUUGGACAAUGGGGGCAACCCUGAUCCAGCCAUGCCGCGGGCGGGAAGAAGGCCUUCGGGUUGUAAACCGCUUUUGUUCGGGAAGAAAUCCUCUGGGCUAAUACCCCGGGGGAUGACGGUACCGGAAGAAUAAGCACCGGCUAACUACGUG